rnacentral:rRNA from 1 species
UACGUAGGGUGCAAGCGUUGUCCGGAAUUAUUGGGCGUAAAGAGCUUGUAGGCGGUUUGUCGCGUCUGCUGUGAAAUUUCGGGGCUCAACCCCGAACUUGCAGUGGGUACGGGCAGACUAGAGUGUGGUAGGGGAGACUGGAAUUCCUGGUGUAGCGGUGAAAUGCGCAGAUAUCAGGAGGAACACCGAUGGCGAAGGCAGGUCUCUGGGCCUUACCUGACGCUGAGGCGCGAAAGCUAGGGGAGCGAACAGG